GGCCGGUUAGUGUAGUUGGUUUAUCACGUAUCGUUAACACCGAUAAGGUCGCCGGAUCGAGCCCGGCACUGGUCA
rnacentral:tRNA from 1 species